rnacentral:rRNA from 1 species
AUACGGAGGGUGCAAGCGUUAUCCGGAUUCACUGGGUUUAAAGGGUGCGUAGGCGGGCAGGUAAGUCAGUGGUGAAAUCCUAGAGCUUAACUCUAGAACUGCCAUUGAUACUAUCUGUCUUGAAUAUUGUGGAGGUAAGCGGAAUAUGUCAUGUAGCGGUGAAAUGCUUAGAUAUGACAUAGAACACCUAUUGCGAAGGCAGCUUACUACGCAUAUAUUGACGCUGAGGCACGAAAGCGUGGGGAUCAAACAGGAUUAGAUACCCUGGUAGUCCACGCCCUAAACGAUGGAUACUCGACAUACGCGAUACACUGUGUGUGUCUGAGCGAAAGCAUUAAGUAUCCCACCUGGGAAGUACGACCGCAAGGUUGAA